GAGACAGAGAGAGAGAGAGAGAGAGAGAGAGAGAGAGAGGGGAAAAAAGAAAAAAGAAUUUGGAGCCAUUGUCCCCUUGGAGAAAAAGGAGAGACGGGGGGAAACGAGGGAGCACUGUUAAACGAGAGGAGUGGUGAGAAGGAGAAGUCAUAGGAUGAUUUUGGGACCGCGGGGAAUGGGAGUCGGGAUACAGUCUGUAUGUAUCACUUCCGUUAAGCAAGUGGGAACAUUGCGCUUAAGUAUCAGAUUAUGUUGUCUGGAAGUCGCAGCAGCUGUGGAGCUAUGAAACCCAGAGUGAGGCCCAAUCCCUAACGCUGCUACAUGCUUCUACAUCGACCUGUCUGCCGUGGCGGUAGAUCCGGAGGUAUAAACCGUGCGGGGGCAAUGCCUGCGUUCCUGCGGACCCCCACUAUGAUCCAGCCACACCUGGAUAUGAAGCCCUUCCUGCAGUUCCCUAUGGACACAGCUCCACCACAACACAGCAUGGGCCUGUUUCACAACUUCAACACCGUGAGUAGUAUAUACAAAACCAUGUUGUCUGUCUGUACUGUCACCGUCACUCCCUUUCUCUGUUCCUCUCUGUUUUUCCUACUUUGGGUUGCCUGGUUACAAUCUCAGUGCAUAUUUCCAAAUUGUUUUGUUUCACUUAAGAGCGUAUUCAUUUCAUCCUCUUCAGCUGGCUCUCCAGCCAACUUAAGCUAUUUUUUUUAGACAAUACUCACUCUGGCCGCAAGACAAUGAGAAGAAACCUAAUGGUUAUCAUCUAAACUUAGAAUCUAAAAUGUUUUUUUGUUGUUGUUGUACAGUAGAGUUGAGAGAGAUUUGUGUCCCCAGUAACUGUCGGAAUGAUUUUUACUAGGACAUGUCAAGGAAUGUAAAUUCAGAUUGGUGUCGAAUAAAGUUUUAUCUUGUCCAGUGAAGCUGACUGGCAAUGCUAGCGUAGGCUACACGACCUGAAGUACCCGACGGUUGGCUAUGGUGGGAAUCAGACCUGGGUUCAAGUAGUAUUUGUCAUCUUUCACACAGUGAAGCUGUGCUUGAUGAAGCUUGUCUGGCUCAAUGCAUCCAAUGGAAUUACCGCAAAAGUGCAAACCCCUCCUAAUCCAGCCUUCCUGGCAGGCUAAAUCAAACGCUCAAAGUAUUACUUUAAAAAAAUAUAAUACUAUUUGAAUCCAGGGCUGGUUGAAAUCCACACCAGCGAUGGAUCCCCAACUAAUGCUAAUGUCAAUUAAACAUGAGCCCAAUAAUAAAUGACGGUUCAGACAAAAAAAAGAUGGAAAAAGAUAAGGGUUCAGCUCAGAGACCACAGGACAGGCUGACUGGCUUUCCUGUCUCUUUGUGUCUGGGACCAGGGCCGGCCCUAGCUUUUUGGAGGUCCUAAGCGUGGUCCCCCCCUCUUGAAGGCUGAGAGAAAAAAAAUGGAAGUUUUAAAAUUAAUUUCCUGCUAUUCUAUGCAUCUUUCCCUGGGGCGAAGAGAAAAUGUUGUGGUCUUAAAACAAAUGUCAUGCAAUUCUACUCAUUUUGCCAUGGGGCGGACAGAAAAUGGAGCAGUUUUCAAUCAAAUUUCCUGCAAUUAAAAAAAAAUUACCAUUGGGUGGAGAGAAUUUAGCAGUUUUUAAAGACACAUUUCAUGCAAUUCUAAAAAAAAGAUUCCAUAGGCCGAAGAUAAAAUGUAGCCAUUUAAAAGCCAGUUUCCUAUAAUUCUGCACUUUUUGACAUGUUCAUAUGAUAUCUGAGUGAGAGUGACUAAACAAAAUCAAUGGGGGCCCCUGGGGGUGAGGGCCCCACGUGGGCACCUACCCUGUGUGCCUGGUCAGUACUUCGGCCACAAUUACUACAAUGUCUAGAUAGCUGGCUAGACUAACUUACCAUACAAAAUGUUUUUAGUGACGUGCUAAUUGAGUGACUGUCAGUGACUAACAUUACAAGAGAAAAACUGAUGCACUACCAAAUAUCGAAACGUCACCUUGUGUAUUCUACUAUUCUAAUUCGCAACAGUAAGUUGACACCCCGACUGAGUUCCUAGGGGCCGGGGGCCCCUUUUGCCUAGGGCCGGCCCUGUCUGGGACUGUGGUUUAAAAGAGGCUUAGCCUCCUGCAAAGCGUUGUCCUGGUGCUAAAGCUGGACAGUUAAAUUUAUACUGAGUGGCCUUACCGGCCUAACAUCCCCAUGAUGGACACCCCAGCUGAAACAAUUAGGAGGAGGUCACUCACUCAACAACCCCCCCCCCCCUCAGCGAAGGGAAGAAAAAAAAAUGUGCCUUUCUUAUUGGAUUCAGAUAGUACCUCCCUGUUCCCCCACAGCAGCUCUGGAGGGCACAUGGUGCUCACCGACUGCUCUACAGCACUAUGAUCAGCUGGCCUGUUGGGCUAGACACUGGGCUUUGUAAGUGAGGGUGGUACACAAGCAUAUAUAUAAUUUCCCUGUCUCAUCAGUCUCCUUUUCUCUCUCUCCCUCUCUCUCUCUUUCUCUCUCUUCCUCCACCCAUCCCACUCUCUCUAUCUCUUUUCCUCCGCCCAUCCCUCUGUCUCUCUACCCAUCCCUCUCUCUCUCUACCCAUCCCUCUCUCUCUACCCAUCCCUCUGUCUCUCUACCCAUCCCUCUCUCUCUCUAUCCAUCCCUCUCUCUCUAUACAUCCCUCUCUCUCCACCCAUCCCGCUCUCACUCUCUCCACCCAUCCCGCUCUCUCUCUCUCC
rnacentral:lncRNA from 13 species